AUUGAACGCUGGCGGCAGGCCUAACACAUGCAAGUCGAGCGAGCGGCGGACGGGUGAGUAAUGUCUGGGAAACUGCCUGAUGGAGGGGGAUAACUACUGGAAACGGUAGCUAAUACCGCAUACCAUCCUAUGAGCCCAGAUGGGAUUAGCUAGUAGGUGGUGUAACUUCUCCCCGCGGCGACGAUCCCUAGCUGGUCUGAGAGGAUGCCCAGCCACACUGGAACGGAGACACGGGCCAGACUCCUACGGGAGUCAGCGGUGGGGAAUAUUGCGCAAUGGGGGCAAGCCUGAUGCAGCCAUGCCGCGUGUAUGAAGAAGGCCUUCGGGUUUUAAAGUACUUUCGGCGGGGAGGCGUUACCCGCAGAAGAAGCACCAGCUAACUCAGUGCCAGCAGCCGCGGUAAUAC
rnacentral:rRNA from 1 species